AAACCUAACCAAACUCCGAAUACCAUCGAGUAUAGUCCGGGAGACAGACGGCGGGUGCUAAGGUCCGUCGUCAAAAGGGAAACAGCCCUAACCUACAGCUAAGGUCCCCAAGUCAUCACUAAGUGGGAAAGCAUGUGGAAUUUCCAAAACAACCAGGAGGUUGGCUUAGAAGCAGCCAUCCUUUAAAGAAAGCGUAACAGCUCACUGGUCUA
rnacentral:rRNA from 14 species